rnacentral:rRNA from 1 species
UACGGAGGGUGCGAGCGUUGUCCGGAAUCAUUGGGCGUAAAGGGCGCGUAGGUGGCCCGGUCAGUCAGUGGUGAAAGCGCGGGGCUCAACUCCGCGUCGGCCAUUGAUACUGCUGGGCUGGAGCACUGUAGAGGCAGGCGGAAUUGGGGGUGUAGCGGUGGAAUGCGUAGAUAUUCGGAGGAACACCAGUGGCGAAAGCGACUUUCUGGGACGUUCCUGACGCUGAGGUUCGAAAGCUCGGGGAGCAAACAGG